rnacentral:rRNA from 1 species
UACGUAGGGGGCAAGCGUUGUCCGGAAUCAUUGGGCGUAAAGAGCGUGUAGGCGGCUUGGUAAGUCCGCUGUGAAAGUCCAGGGCUCAACCCUGGAAUGCCGGUGGAAACUGUCAAGCUUGAGUCCGGAAGAGGCGAGUGGAAUUCCUGGUGUAGCGGUGAAAUGCGCAGAUAUCAGGAGGAACACCAAUGGCAAAGGCAGCUCGCUGGGACGUGACUGACGCUGAGACGCGAAAGCGUGGGGAGCAAACAGG